rnacentral:rRNA from 1 species
GACGGGGGAUGCGAGCGUUAUCCGGAAUGAUUGGGCGUAAAGGGUCCGCAGGUGGCCCGGUCAGUCCGCUGUCAAAGCCUGGGGCUCAACCCUGGAGAGGCGGCGGAGACCACCGGGCUUGAGUCCGGUAGGGGCAGAGGGAAUUCCCGGUGGAGCGGUGAAAUGCGUAGAGAUCGGGAGGAACACCAGUGGCGAAGGCGACUUCCUGGCCUAUUCUUGACGCUGAGGCGCGAAAGCUAGGGGAGCAAACGGG